UACGUAGGGUGCAAGCGUUGUCCGGAAUUAUUGGGCGUAAAGAGCUCGUAGGCGGUCUGUCACGUCGGCUGUGAAAACCCGAGGCUCAACCUCGGGCCUGCAGUCGAUACGGGCAAACUAGAGUACUGCAGGGGAGACUGGAAUUCCUGGUGUAGCGGUGAAAUGCGCAGAUAUCAGGAGGAACACCGGUGGCGAAGGCGGGUCUCUGGGGCAGUAACUGACGCUGAGGAGCGAAAGCGUGGGGAGCGAACAGG
rnacentral:rRNA from 1 species